rnacentral:rRNA from 1 species
UUUUACGGGAGGCAGCAGUGAGGAAUAUUGGUCAAUGGGCGAGAGCCUGAACCAGCCAAGUCGCGUGAAGGAUGACUGUCUUAUGGAUUGUAAACUUCUUUAUACGGGAAUAACAAGAGCCACGUGUGGCUCCCUGCAUGUACCGUAUGAAUAAGCAUCGGCUAACUACGUGCCAGCAGCCGCGGUAAUAAAA